rnacentral:sRNA from 1 species
CCAUGAAGCAAAACAUGACAUUUGAUACCUUUUUGGAAAGCCCAAAGAGAACCCUCCGACGAAAGAAGCAGGAAAAUGGGUCGAGGUAUCAU